AAAGAAUUCAGAUGAAACCAAGAAUAUGUUCAGUUUUUAUUCGGGUGUUUCGUUUUCUUCAUCUUUUUUUUUGCUUCAGUUUUUUGUUGGUCUCGUCUUUCGAGUCCCUA
rnacentral:ribozyme from 1 species